rnacentral:rRNA from 1 species
UUUGGUUCAGUUAGAAAGGGGGCACGGUGGAUGCCUGGAAUCUAGGAGUCUAUGAAGAACGGGACUAACGCCCAUAUGCUUCGGCGAGCUGUAAGUAUGCUUUGAUCCGAAGAUUUCCGAAUGGGGAAACCCCCCAUAAUUAAUGGUAUGGUA